UGGUUCUGGCAUCGAUGAAGAACGCAGCGAAAUGCGAUAAGUAAUGCGAAUUGCAGAAUUCCAGUGAGUCAUCGAAUCUUUGAACGCACAUUGCGCCCUUUGGUAUUCCGAAGGGCAUGCCUGUUCGAGCGUCAUUAUCACCCCUCAGGCCCCGUGCUUGGUGUUGGACGGCCGGUUGAGGCCCCCUCGACCCCUCCUAAAGAUAAAGACGGCGACCUGUGGCUCCCCCGGUACACUGAGCUUCUCACCGAGCACGUAUUGGACAAGGGCGCCCAGGACCCGGUCUUCUCCUCUCACGAGGAAAUUUUUCUAAGGUUGACCUCGGAUCAGGUAGGAAUACGCGCUGA
rnacentral:misc_RNA from 1 species